UACAGAGGGGGCAAGCGUUAUUCGGAAUUAUUGGGCGUAAAGGGCGCGUAGGCGGCCUUUCAAGUGACGGGUGAAAGCCCUCGGCUUAACCGAGGAACUGCCUGUCAGACUGGCACGCUCGAGUUCGGGAGAGGAUGGUGGAAUUCCCAGUGUAGAGGUGAAAUUCGUAGAUAUUGGGAAGAACACCGAUGGCGAAGGCAGCCAUCUGGACCGACACUGACGCUGAGGCGCGAAAGCGUGGGGAGCAAACAGG
rnacentral:rRNA from 1 species